UGGGGAAUAUUGGGCAAUGGGCGCAAGCCUGACCCAGCAACGCCGCGUGAAGGAAGAAGGCUUUCGGGUUGUAAACUUCUUUUGACAGGGAGAGCAGAAGACGGUACCUGUCGAAUAAGCCACGGCUAACUACGUGCC
rnacentral:rRNA from 1 species